AAGGCAGCUACUGGCAACCGUGGGAUUGGGGGCGGGGUAGGGAGCGGCGCGCGCACUAGGUACUGGAGGGAGAGGCCAUGAUUAUCAGUCCACGAUUAUUAAUAUCGCUAAGGUUUUGCUCAUGCUAUCCUCUCCCUUCCUGGAAAACCCUCCCCACCUCAAGGGUUACUUCCUCCAAAAAGCAUUCCUGGUGGUCUUCCAGCUGCCGGCCUCCUAGGCACCGCUGCCGCCGCUGCCGUGGGCCCAGGAACCUCUUCAGCCGGCGCCUCGGCCGGCAUCGUUUCAGGACCACGGACAGCUCCUGGCGCAACCCCAGCCGGGCCCUUGCGGCAGGGCUCACACACCCUAGGCGCUCCAUCAGCACCUGGGCACACUUGGGGCCAAGGCCAACAAUGAGAAGAAAGGUUCCCCCGGAAUGCCAUGCUGCCCCCGGAGCCCCUCUUCAGCAAGAAUCUCCCUCGCCGUCGCCAAAGACGUCCUGAGCAACAGACCUGAGACAGAGACAUGAAGUACUUUUAGCUGUGCAAGAACUCUGGUUGAGCAAAAACCACACAUGCUUAUGCCUGCAAGCUUUAUUCUCAUUCUCAGCCAGGCCAGAGGAAAAGGAGGCAUCUCUGCUAAUCCUCCCACCCAGUUCCUGAGAAGAAAGCACCGGGACCCCUGGAAGCCACAUGCUGUGUUGGCCUGGUUGCUGCUCCCCAGUACUCCUCGGGGUUAAAGGCCUGGUGCCCCCUCCCAUCGCCUCCAGCCACACCUCUCCUGUCUUCAAAAGCCUAGAAGGCUAGUCCUUCCACACUCUAAAGUCCUUUCAGAAAAAAAUUCUGAAACAGUGUGUCUCAAACUGCUAUAAAGUCAAAGAUUUUUCACAAGAGAUCCCCUAGAUAUAUACAGAUAUUGGCAAUUAAGCAAGUGCUGUACAACAUACUACUUACCUUUGUGAAAUACGAUGCACUCUGAUAGUUUCUAUUGUGAUUGCUAUGCUGUGCUGUGCUGUGCUAUGCUAUGCUAUGCUAUGCUAUUCUUUUAAGAGCUCAUUAUAACUGACCAAGUGGAUUUCACAACUUUCUAAGGAAUCUAAGUCUCAGCUAAAAUACUCCAAAAAUUCCAGCAAAGACAAAAACUCAGGCCUAGAUUUGCCACCAGUGCCCUCUUCUGGGCAGCUUUAUUGUAAGUCGUGUCUAUUAACAUUGUUUAAUUGUCAUAAACAUUGUUUAAUUGUCAACAUCUGUGUGUGUGCACUGAGUCUCGCCAGGAAAUAGAUGAUUUAUGUCGGUUACAACCUAAAAGAUUUAAGAAGCAAUGUUUAGAAAUGUUCUGAUGAAUAAAGGCUGAGCUGAAAGGGCAUUGUGUAUAUGUGUGUGAGACAGAGAGAGAAAGGCUCUCAUCAGAGGUUGUGCAGAUUUUUCUCUGCGAUCUUCUCUCUUCCUGCAAAUCAGCCAGAGAUGGGAUCUCAGGGACCUAUCCCUGCCUCCCCAAAGCCAUCCUCACAUGAGGCCAGCCUGGGAAGAGGACAGCAGAGCUCACAUCUCUGUGGAGAGGAGGCUGGGCUCAAUGCAGACCUCUGUGUCUUUGGUCAUCUUCACUUCAUAGGUCUUGUCCUGAGACCCUCCUGCUGACACACCAUGGUUGCAUGGCUCUCCCAGGAAAGAACCUGCAAUGUUCAAGAUGGAGAAAAUCAUUAGGCACUGCCAACCCCACACCCCCACUCUUUGCUCAGCACACAUGCACGCAUUACUCAUGUACACACACGUAUAUGUGUGCAUAAACAUGCGCACAUACACACAUGUAUACACAUGUGAACAUGCAUGCAGUUUCUGUGGCCUCAUUAUCCUGUGAUGGGCUAUGAAGCCAUGGAGCCAUGGAAGUGUUUAGAUUAGGGUGAGGGUUCCAUAUGGGAGAACAUGUGGUGCUGGAUUUAAGGAGAUCUGAGUCCUGACCCCAAGUCACUUACCCUCUGGCCCAAGUCACUUAGCCCACUCCAUUCUUCAGUUUCCCUUUCUAUGAAAUUGGAAUGAUAUAGGCCCUGCCUAACUCAGAAGCCUGUUGUGAGUCACAAAUAAAGCACAGAUGAGACGUUGCUCUGAGGGUGGAAAAAGCCAGCUUUGGCCGAAGGGUCCUGGGUUGUGCCAUAAAGAACAGGGUUGGCCCGUGAGAAGACUGUCCCCCACCCGCCCCCAGCUGUGAUAGCUAGGCCUUUAGGAAUUUGUUUGACACAUGUCAGAUAUCCCUGGCAUCCUAUUUUAAUGGUGCCCUUGAUUCUGACACCUGCUUCCUGGAGUAAAGACACAGAGAGGAAACCUCACGUAGAGGGUUUUGCUCUCCUGAGCAGAGGUUAGUGAGACUGAGUCCCUGCUGAAUCUGAAUCCCUCCUGAGCUCCAGACCCUUCCACACUGAGAUGUGCCUUUCCUGCUGGGACAGAGUCUUCUGGUCAUGGGGCCAUGUCUUCUUUAGCUCUGAGCAAUGUGAUCUUCUUUUCCCAUCUGUGCUCAGCUCACUGCCUCCCUCUAUCUUACUGCCUAUAGACCCUGCAUGCCCUGCCCACUCUAUCCUCAGGGGUCUGAGGGCAUCAGUGAAAAAUCCCAGUCCAUCCUUUCUGUACUGAGUGCUGGAUCAGUGCUCCUGGCUUUCAACAUCUCAGAUAGGGUAAGGGAAGUUCUCUCAGGGAGGCCUGCAGAUUGCUACCCACCCUCCAGAGGGGAAAGAAAGAUGAGAGGUGGGAACUCCAAGUGGAUUGGGAGGGGAGGGAGGUGGAAUGGGCUUUGGAGAGGCCUGGGGGGAUGAACUGGAGAUGCAGAGUGUCAGCAGGCAGGCAACAGCAUUUCUGGGGACUACUGGGCACAGGACGUGCUGGCUUAUCCUCAGCACAAGCAAUGCCAGUGUCUGACCUGCCUUUAACUUUGAGCUGCAACAAAGAGGACAAGGCCCAGGAACAGGAAUGCGGGCUACACUUGUCUUCACCAAGCUGAAUCUUGGCACCCUGUGUGUUGUUUGUCCCAACUGCAGCAGGCAGAGGGAAUCAACGCUUUGUGAGCACUGACUGUGUGCUGGGCACUGUGCUGGGUGCUUUGUGUGUUUUGCCUCACAAAGAGAUGAAUCUGUGGAGACAAGGAAAUCCCCUGGGGAUUUAAACAGGUCCUCUAAACAUCCCUCUCCUCUUAUGUCAUAGAGAACAAAGCUUCACAGGAAAAUGCCCUUAGAGGGUGAGGAAUCAAUUCACCAUGAGCGGCUAAAGAUGGACUUGGAGUCCUCCUUAAGCAGAGGCUUUGAUGAGGCCAGCAUGGGAGAGGGCGAUAUGGGGACCAAGUCAGGACUUCUCUGGAAUGAGGGUCUCCUGACCUACUUUCAGGCAAGGCAAGUCAAGAAUUCCUUUCUGACCAUGCUUCAGGGGAGAAAGGGUCAGAGAGUGACCUUCCUGCUGCUGCCGUUUUCUCCAUUUCCUUCCAUAAAAUACUCAGCAGGCCAAGGGGCCACAUGUUGGGGUAAUGUGUUCCAGGCCCUGGCACUAUUCUUCUACCUCUCUGACAUUUCCUCUCUCUUCCUUUGUGGACUUCUCUCCCAGGCACCCAUCGCUCUCCAUCAUGGGGAUCCUGCCAAGGAAGCUGGGAGGAGGAAACCAGGGAUCUAAGGUGGUCUGAGGGCAGCCUGCGUGGACUGAAUGAAAGGCAGUGGGGCAGGGUUAAAAGGCCAACUCCAUUAGGAUGAUUCACAUGAAAUUGCUGAUAUUUGGCCAUUUUUACCUACAAAAAUCAUAAGUUCUUUUGGUUCAACUAAAACUUCCAAACUUGUUUCAGUCAGGCUCAUGUCCAUCUGGACUUGUAGCCAGACAGUUGGGAAUGCAAGGCACUUACAGGAAGGUGACUGGAAACCUUGCAGCAAGGCUCCUCUGUGCAGCUGGAGUUACAGACUGAAGUGUUUUAGUCCAUCUUUGAAUUCACAUAAUAAAUGAUUUUAAAUUAACUAACUAGAUCUUACGGUAAAACAUGUGCUCCACAAUUUCUGAUGUGUCUCUGUUAUAACUGCUUUUGGGAAAGACCCUGCCUUCUCUUCAACCCCUCAUAGCGGCAACUGGUAAAACUCCUGACUUGAUAAGGAAUUUUAAUUACAAUAUAGCAUAUCUAAUGCUAAGGACAGAUUUUCAAAAAGGUACAGACCUAAUUUCACAGGUAGUAACCCAUAAGAUUUCAACUUAGAGCAUAAUAUAAGAAUAGUUUCUCUAACUAAAGCAAAAUAUUCCAUAAAAAUUUCUGAAAGUGAAACAUUAUGCAACAGCAAUAGAUUCCGUUGCAUAUAACUGAAAACAUGUACAGGACGCGGUAUAUAUUUUUUUGUGUUAGUUAAAAAGAACAUGGCCACACAUAGGCUAAAUUAAAGAAAAUUAGACUUAUUUCAUGAAAGACGCAAAGAGAAACAGAGAUGCAUAGCAACAAGGGAAACCAUAUUUACCCAUAUAAAAAUGGCGAACUCCUUCUUCCAAGCAUUUUCUAAAGUGGACUAAAGUAAUCCAAUCAUUACACUUAUCGGGUUCCUAUCAUAAUCACCUAUUUUGCAUAUAAACAUAAAGCUAAAGUUUGUGCUUGUUAGACCUCACCCUUGAAUAACACUUGAUCUUGUUGCUUAGUGAGGGCAAGUCACACUCUUGAAGAUUCAUCUCCAACAUGAGCACUUUCCCACUGGAAUUGUUCUGCUAUAGUAUUUCCAAUUACUCAGGAAACCUCACCCAAUAAAACCUCACCCUGAAUGUUUAGUCAAAAAAUAUUAAGAGCCAUGAUUUACUUAGCAGUGUUUUAAGAUUAUACAUGUAUUUAUUCAAUUUACAUACUUUUUCCUUGUUUUAGGAACAUGUGUAUGUUGAACCAAAAUUAUCUUUUUAAGAGUAAGAACCAGUUUUAAAAGUUAUAUCCGUUUUUAUUUAUUUAUUUAUUUUUGUCCACAUAAUAAAAUUGUUUAGCAAAUGGAGGAAAGUAAAGCACUGUGGUUAACAGCAAGCUUCUUCUCAUUUACAUGGUAGUUGAAUUAAUUUUGAGAAUUACUUUUCUUUAUUUCCCUCCCAAUGAUGCAAAAUAUAAGAUGAACCUUGACAGCUGGCUCAGGCAUUGGAGUCUUCUCCAUGAAGAAGGAAGAUCAUACAAAGCCUUCUCCAACUAAAGGAUGUGCUUAAUGAAGUCAUUAUUUGUCUUUCUCUUCCUCAAAACGUGCUGUUUUAUCAACAUUUCAAUGUAUCAAAUGUCUACAGUGAUGGUACCAACGUUCAUCUUGUUGCCUAAAACAAAACUUUUGAAGAUUUCCCCUCCCAUGUGAUGUUCCUCUUAAACAUUUUGGAAAGAAAUUUUCCCUCUUCUUCCCCUUAACCUGUUCUACCCUAACUGAGAAGCCAGCCACCUCUAAAUACUAAUGAAAACACAAAAUUUAAAGAUCAGUUAAGUAACUUAACUAUGAGAUUUUUGUUUGUUUGUUUGUUUUUUGGCAGCCAUUAAAGAUUAGUAGAUUAAGAAAGUAAAAUUGUUCAACACAGUAUCUAAGAAGACAAAUAGUAAAAAUAGAAGAUUUACACUAUAUAUAAAUCUCUCACAAAGAUUUAAAUUAAUCUGUUACAAAAUGAUCUCAUAUUUUGCAAUAAUAAUCAUUCAUCUUACAAAAUAAAUAAAUGCCACUUGUGAUAAUAACUAUCCAUUGAAAAAAAUGUUUAUAGCUCAGUUUAAACCUUUUAUCAACAUGGGGCCAGAGGUAAAAGCAUAUCCCAUUAAAGAUGGAUCAAGGAGAUCAUAUACUUAGAAACACGCAUGUGCCUAUAUAUACAAAUACACAACAGUCCUACAUAAACAAUAUGUACAGUUAAAAUACACUUUAAAAACAAAAGAUGUGUUAGAGCUAAGUGGCAAAAAGUUCUGACCUCUACCUUGUGCUUAUUAUAUUUUAUUAUUUUCCCACUUAACCAAAGCCCUGACAAGGAAAAGGAACUAACAAGUGUUAAUUGAACAAAAGCUCACUAUAGCAGGAAAAAGUGGGAAAUACAAUGUUCUAAAAGGCACCGGUAGUUUCCUAUAAAUGCGGAGGGGAUUAUUUUAGUUCUUAUUUUUUUUAAAUUACAAGAGCUACAUGUUACCUUAGUGGGUAAGCUAAAUGAAAGUGAUAAAAGUGGCAUUAAAUGGUAAGAUGUUUCUUACCAAAUUAAAGUUAGAAAUAUCACUGAUGUAUGUUGCUACCACCAAUAGCAAUGACACCACCUUGCAGACUCUCCAUACUCAAUGAAGUUACACUAGAUAUUGUUAUGCGCUAUGCACAUUUAUUGCCAGAGCUCUCAUGAGAUAAAGUAUUAAAGCCCAAUAGGGGUGUCACAUGUGUGACUGGACAAAUACCUUAUUCGAGUUGACCUUAAGUAUUUUAUGCAACACCAACUGUCAAACACUUUGGUAGUUUAAAUGGAUUUUUAAAGAGAUUAAGUACAGCAUAAUCAUGGAAAAAUCAUGAUGAAAUGAUUAUUGUAGACACAGUUUUCAUUUUUGUUAAAACCUGUUUUAUAAACUGUUUUAUGGUCAAUAAUGGUAAAUUAGAAGGUAAAUUUAGAACUUCUGCCAACCUCCAACCUGCAAGAAAUCAUCUUGAUUAAUCAACAUCUAAUCAACGUUAUUAGAAUGGUUGGCAGAGCAGUGAUCAAUUCCUAUAUAAGUAUCAUUCUUGCUAGCACCAAAAACAUAACACAGAGCACCCUUCAAACUGUAAAAUAAGCACCAAAAUAAAUCAUCAAAAUGCCACACUACUACUCUAAAAAUCACAAAUGCCCAUACAUGUGAGUACUCAAGAAGCUAACUUCAGAAGUGCAACUGCAAUUUCAGUGUCUUUGGGCAAGUCACACCUGCAGCUUUCACAGCUCUAAAAUAACUGAAGUACAUAGUCUUAAACAUCCCUUUAAAGGCUUACAUUCUUUUAAUGUAAAUAAAAAUUCUUACAUCCUUUUAUUAUGUGGAUUAUGCACAAUGUACAUAGAUGAUGUUUAAAUUGCCAAUACUUCCUUGAUCAUCUGCAUGCGAAGCAGUGGCUGGAGGUCAUGAGGAGCAUCGAGGUAAGUUAGUUACCCCCAUCAUCAAAAAAGACAGGCACCUGAACAAGCAGUGGUGAUAUAAUUGUUACAGCUGUAACAAUUUUAUUUUAUUUUUUUGUAAAUAUAUAUGUUUUUGCAACAGUUUUGCUGGGGGAGAGCAAAAUCCCACUGUGGGCAGCUCAGAAGUGCACAUGUGAGAGAUUUCCACUGAUAGAAAAGAAAGGUAAAGGCAUUCCAAACAGCAAAAAUAUCAUUAACCAAAAUUUGAAGACAGGAUUGGGAAUGGAAAAGAGCAGUUUUUCAGGAUAAAACAAGUGGAAUGGAAAACUUUGGAAAUAAAAUUUUUUAAUUAGUACAAAUAUACAUUUAUUGCAAACAAAAAUUAAGUAACAAAACAAUAAAUGAUCAGUGCUGAUAUGGUUUGGACCUGUGUCCCCAGCAAAUCUCUUGUUGAAAAGUAAUCCCCAGUCUUGGAGGUGGGGCCUGGUGGGAGGUGAUUGGAUCAUGGGGGCAGACCCUCAUGCCUUCAACCUGUCCUCAAGACAGUGAGUUCUCCCAAGAUCUGGUUGUUUAAACAUGUGUGAUGUCUCUCCCUCUACUCUCUCAUGCUUGCUCCUGCUUUCUCCAUGUGAGAUGUCUGCUCCUCCUUCACCUUCUGCCGCAACUGGAAGAUUCCUGGGGCCUCCCCAGAAGCUGAGCAGAUGCCAGCACAUUUCCUGUACAGCCUGCAGAGCUGUGGGCCAAUUACAUGCCUUUUCUUUAUAAUUUACCUGGUCCCAGGUGUUUCUUUACAGCAAUGCCAGAAUGGCCUAACACAAGUGCUUUGCAUGUGUUCAUUUUACAAAAUUGAAGAGUGGGAAUAAGAAAAGAUGCAUUGCUCUGAAUACAUCAUGUAUUUUGAAAUACGUAAAAUAAGCUACAUUUAUUCCUAUUAGAUAACCAGAAAAAAAAAGAUAGUCUAGAUUUGGGCCUCUUAAAUAUUAAAUGAUAUGAAGAAGGAGGAGACAUGUCAAAUGGAAGCAGCUUCGUGCAUAGGGACAUUCUCCCAGAUGCUCCAAUGUCCUGACUCUCUUAACUGCACGUACUCACCCACUGAGCCAUGUGCAUUCACACUCAUCACUCUGCACAUGAAGAGAUCAGCCAGACAGGGCCAGGCUGGCACACACACACUCCCCAUGCAGUUCUGGCCAUGUCCAUCAGACUGUUUGGCCUCUGGCUUGGCUUUGUCACAAGCUGCAUCCUCCUGUGCAAUGGUCUAUUGGAAUUCAGUUUCCUCAUCUGUAAAAGGAGACUCCUAAGUGAGUUGUUGUCAUAAUUCUUCUUUUUUUUUUUUUAGAUGGAGUCUUGCUCUGUUGCCCAGGCUGGAGUGCUGGAGCGGUGCAGUGGUGUGAUCUUUCUGACAACUCUGUCCCUGACUUGGGCAGCAUUGGUCCCCUACUGUCAUUCUGGUCAUGACAUAAAUGCCACCUUAGUGAGGCAUUUGGAUUCUCCCCACACAGUGCACAGUGGCUCCCCAGCCCUCCUUCCCAUCAUCCUACUGUAUUUUUAUCACGGCACUUGCUCUUUUCUUUCAUGUGGACUUGCUCUAGUGGUUUUGUGCAGGUCUCCUAAGACUGUGGGCUCCUCGGGUAGAGAGGGGCUCCUUUGUCAUUUUCAGCACCAACACUGAGGCUACCAGGGCACCUGGCACAAGGUGAGUGCUCAGGAAGGAGUCAGUGAGUGAAUAAGUCGGAGGGUGGUUAAACCCCACUUUCUGCUUCUGCUGGCCUCCUCAUAAUGUGGAGAUCAUUGAUAAUAACAGGAAGCACCUGUCUCAGGAGAAUCCCUGGGCUCCAGCUGCCCCAGUAAAGCUCAGUGGGCACCAGGGACAUGGGAGGCUGCUGCCACCUGGGGGUCAGCACUAGCACUGCAGCCCCAGGCAGGAGUAUCACAGAACAGAGCAGGACAGGACAGGACAGACAGGACAGGCAGGUGCAUUUGGAGAUCCUUAGGACAGUGGCUCUCCAGGGUCCCAGCAGGCCCUGGAGCCAAAUCUGCCGGCUCAAGGUCAGUAAGAGGGACCUCAGAAGCCUCCCUUACCGCUGUUCCUCCACUUGUUGGGGUGUACAGGUCACUCUUGAGGACCCUCACUUUAUCCAGGGCAGUGAUUUCCUGCUACUUCCCAAUGUGGACCUCGGGAACCCAACUGGGCCUGGUCUUGUCCCCACACCUCAGACCUGGGGUCCAGUGUUCUGAAACAUUCUGCUCUAUCCAAGUCCUCAUCUGCCCAAGCCCCCAGUUUUUUUGUUGUUGUUGUUGUUGUUUUUGUUUUUUGCUCUGAAGGACCUCCAGGGAGUAGAAAGCAUUUUCCCAGAGUCUCCCAGCACAGUGGGCCACCAGUAGAGAACCAGAGCCAAUUAGGUAUUUACCAUGGAAACCUUGGGAUCAGGCCAAACACCGCAAUUCACACAGGAGAAAACAGGCACUUCUGUCCUGCAGCCCCUUCUUACACCAGAGCAGGUGGGCUCAUCUUAGCUCCAGGCGUCCACAGACAUGGGCUGCAGGACUGAGUCCUGUCUUCUCAAGGUUGUGCUGGGUGUUGCCCCAGCCCUGGCUGAGCCCUGGGAGCCUUGUGGAUCCUCCUGCCUAUGCUUCGGGCUCCUGAGCAUGUGGGUAGGAGAGGAGUGGAUGCCACUGCCCUGUGACAGAGCUGCCCCCAACCUCUUUAUUCUUCUUCUCCUGUCACUUUUCUGAUGUUCACUCUUUCUGUGGCUGCUGCCUCCAUGGUCUCCACCUGAGGAGUCAUUAUGUCUUUGUGUGUCGUGUGUGUCUGAGCUCACUUGGGAUGUGGAAAGGAAGAUGGCCCCAGGUGGAGAAGUGGGCAGGGGUCCCCUGGGAUCUUAGAGGCUUCCAUUUUCAAAGCAAAUGCCAUGGGAAAAGGUGAAACCAAGGCCUUGGAAGCUAGAGCCCGUCCUAACACUGGCCCUGUCCACCUACUGUGGUCUGGGCCACUCUCUCCCUCUUUCCAGGCCUCAGUUUCCCAAUUGUACAAUAAAGAACUGAAUAAGUGCAUGCUCACUGAGGACAUGGGAUCGGGCUUCAUUAAUGCCACACACCGUGUCAGCGUGGCUGGGCUCAGUCACACAUGGGUGCGCAGGCCUCCUGACACAACCUGGCCUGCAGAUAUGGAGCACAGGAAGCCAGAGACCCAGUGAGAGGUGAGUGCGCAUUCGCAGGGCACCGACAGUGUUGCUCUGGAGGCCAGUCCCACGGGAGCCUCCACCUCCAGCCUCUGACUGCUCUUGUGUCCCACACCCUCGGGGCCCAGGGGCACCAGUGGUACAUUCAGCGGGGGCUGCAGGGCACUAGGCCUGGUGGGCCUGGACUGGAGGGAGCCAUUUUCCUAUUGAUCCACAGCUUCACAGUGUGUGGUCAAACUAUGAAUUUGACAAGGCUGUUUUAUUAUUACUGAGCCCAAGCACAUGUCCAGUUCUCUACCGUGUAAUUGUUUCUUUUCUAUCCAUUUCUAGGAGUUCUUUCUGUAAUGGGAGUGUGAGCCCCGCUGUGACAUGGGUUGUAAAUAUUUAUUCCUAGUUUAUUAUAUCUUUUUUUAAAUUGUGGUUCUUAGUUCUGGUUUGAAUUGAUUUUCUUUUUGUUUUAUUUGCUUUGUUUCAUUUUCUAUGUAUUAUUAAGAUGUCACUUCUCUCCAAAUUGAGCUACAAGAUCAUACAACCACAAUAAAGUAACUCAGCCAAUAUCUCUUGAAAACUGAUUAGCCAAUUUCAAAAUUUACAUAGAAAUAAAGAGUCAAGAACCAUCAAGACAUUUGUAACAAAGCUAGAGGACGUACACUGUCAGGUAUUAAGACUUAGAUCACAGCUACAGGAAUCAAGGUCCUGUGGUUUAGUUGUGCAAGAAUAGACACAAGGAGGAGAAAGAAUGGAGGGUCCAGCUCAGACCUGCAGAUCCUGACAUUCUGCAUAUGACUGAGCACACCGCAGAGCAGUGGGGAGAGAAAGGCUGCUCAGUGAAUGGCCUGGGCAACUGGGCAUCCACAUGGGAAGUCAAUCAAACUUGAUUCCUACCUCACACUGUGCACAAAAGUUAAUCCCAGGGGAAUUUUAAAUCUAAA